UACGGAGGGGGCUAGCGUUGUUCGGAAUUACUGGGCGUAAAGCGCACGUAGGCGGCUUUGUAAGUCAGAGGUGAAAGCCCGGAGCUCAACUCCGGAAUUGCCUUUGAGACUGCAUCGCUUGAAUCCAGGAGAGGUGAGUGGAAUUCCGAGUGUAGAGGUGAAAUUCGUAGAUAUUCGGAAGAGCACCAGUGGCGAAGGCGGCUCACUGGACUGGUAUUGACGCUGAGGUGCGAAAGCGUGGGGAGCAAACAGG
rnacentral:rRNA from 1 species